CUCUGACUGGCUCAGUGAGUAAAGCACAUGACUCUUGAUCUUGGGGUCAUGAGUUUGAGCCCCAUGUUGGGGG
rnacentral:tRNA from 1 species